rnacentral:misc_RNA from 1 species
UGGCGUUUACGUGAAGUGAAAAUCAAAAUCUUAGACAUUACAAAAGUACAUGCUUUGGUCGAUUUUAUUCCGUUUCCCAUCUUUCUUUCCAAGUUUUCUCGCUUAAUAUUUUUCCUCGAAAAUUCUCUCUUAAGCUUCCUCUCGCUCGAGAAUUCAUUUCCCAAAUAAGUUACCUUGCCAAAGAGAAAUCUUGCCCGUUUCCCUUUUGUUCAAGCAAAUAUUUCUAUGCCGUGCUAGGUGGCGUUUGUUGUUUUCUGAAUUGGGAUUUGUUAUUUCUUUGAACGAGCAAUAACAAAUCCUGAUUUGGAGAGGUACAACAAGGUAUUGCUUGUCGCUUCUGUUAUUUGAUUCUCUGGUUUUCUUCUCCUUUUUUUUUUUUUGGUAUUCUUGGAGUGCUUAAUAGAGGAACCAUUUGAGAUUCAACACGAAGCAUUGGAUUUUGAACUUUUUCGUAGAAAUUGGCACUAAUUGGACGUUAUAUGUGAAUCUGGUUUAUGGGUUCUGUUCUAUAACUGCUUGCUUUCCACGUGCUCUUGUUGUGAUCUGUAUAAUCUUGGACUAGCUUGCAAGUAUGUGCUCUGGAUAGUACUGAGAAACUAAUGUUUCCAAGUUAUUUUCUAUUUAAUUUUCACCAUUUUGAAAGUGUUUGUUGGGCCUCUAUUUUCAAAGAGUUUAUGCAAUAGUGUUGGGCUACAGUUUAACUCGUCUGAGAACUUGUUGUAUGCCAAUGUUCACCAAUUUCUGAGUUUUAUAUUGGUUCAAAUUUUUAGGUUUUAGUUGGAGAAGAAUUAUAUAGGUAGUUUUAUAUUUGAUAGUAGGAAUUGUCCUUAAGAUUGUUGUGUUCACGAUGGGGAAGCAAAGUGGGAAGAAUAAGAAACAGGCAGCGGGGCAGGCAGACGCAGUUGACAGUAAUUUGAAGCUAAAUAGCCCUAAAGCUAACGACAAGGACGCUGCAGUUUUCAUUUCCAUGUCUCAAGAAUUGAAGGAGGAAGGGAACAGCCUGUUUCAAAAGAGGAACCAUGAAGGAGCUAUGAUGAAAUAUGAGAAAGCUAUCAAAUUGCUUCCCAGGAAUCAUAUAGAUGUAUCUUAUCUGAGGAGCAACAUGGCUGCAUGUUAUAUGCAGAUGGGUCUGAAUGAGUAUCCUAGGGCCAUCCAUGAGUGUAAUUUGGCACUGGAGGUCACACCGAAGUAUAGUAAAGCACUGUUAAAGAGGGCAAGGUGUUAUGAGGCUUUGAAUAGACUGGAUUUAGCUCUGAAAGAUGUUACUAUGGUUUUGAAAAUGGAGCCAAACAAUGUCAUGGCAAUAGAGAUUGCAGAAAGGGUGAAACAAGCACUUGAGCAGAAAGGACUAAGGGUGAAUGAUACAGUAAUUGAACUGCCUCCAGAAUAUGUUGAACCUCCUAGCAAUUCAACUUUGCCAAAAGCAGUGAAAGAGAAGACGCGGAAGAAGAAGAAUAAAAAGGUUGAGCAGAAAAAGGCUGGGGAUGAAAUUGAAGAGAAGAAGGUUGAUGGGGAAAUUGAUGAGAAACAGACCAAGGAUAAGGUGGUCAUAGAGGAGCAAAUUAGUGGUGCAAAGGAAGAACCUAAAAAGACAGUGAAAUUGAUAUUUGGCGAAGACAUAAGAUGGGCUCAGUUGCCUCUUAAUUGCAGCCUCCUGCAAGUCAGAGAGGUCAUAUCUGAUCGAUUUCCAGGCUCAGGGGCUGUUCUUAUCAAAUACAGGGAUCAAGAAGGGGAUUUGGUAACAAUAACCACUGAUGAAGAACUGAGAUGGGCUGAAGCAUCAGCUGAAUCCCAGACCUCUAUCAGGCUGUAUUUAGUGAAAGUCAAUCCUCAGCAGGGUCUAUUCUUUGGGAAGCUUAACAAUGAGGAGUUGCAUGAAAUGGGUUUGGAAAAGAAAUUUUCCAGAGUGAAUGGGAACAUGGAAAAAGGUAAAGAAGCAGAAAAUGGAUCUUGUCAUAUUGAUGAAUGGAUACUAGAGUUUGCUAAGCUGUUCAAAGAACAUGUGGGGUUUGAUGCUGAUGCAUACCUUGGUCUUCAUGAACUUGGUGUUAAGGUAUAUUCUGAGGCUAUGGAGGAGGCGGUUACAAGUGAAGAAGCACAAGACCUUUUUAGCACAGCAGCAGGGAAGUUCCAAGAGAUGGCAGCUUUGGCAUUGUUCAACUGGGGAAAUGUUCAUAUGUCUAGAGCAAGGAAGAGGAUUUACUCCACCGAAAACGCUUCAAGAGAUUCGGUGCUUGAACUGAUAAAAACUGCAUAUGAUUGGGCACAGAAGGAAUAUGUUGAAGCAGGACAGAAGUAUGAAGCAGCAUUGAGAAUCAAACCAGAUUUCUAUGAAGGUAUUCUAGCUCUAGGGCAGCAACAGUUUGAGCAGGCAAAACUUUCUUGGUAUUAUGCAAUUGGCAAUAAUGUUGACUUAGAAUCAUGGCCUUCUGAAGAGGUUGUGCAACUUUAUAAUAGUGCUGAGAACAACAUGGAAAAAGGCAAGCAGUUGUGGGAAGAAUUCGAAGCACAACGCCAAAGUGAACUUUCUAAUUCACUCAAGGUUAAUUCUCAAUCAGAGAAAAAGGGGUUGGAUUGGCUAUUUAAAGAUGUGUCAGCAGAAGAAGCCACUGAGCAGGCAAAGAACAUGAGGUCUCAUAUUAAUCUACUAUGGGGAACCAUACUCUAUGAGCGAUCAAUUAUGGAAUUCAAACUAGGGCUGCCAGUCUGGCAAGAUUGUUUGGAAAUUGCAGUUGAGAAGUUUGAGCUUGCCGGAGCUUCACCAACAGAUAUAGCUGUUAUGAUGAAGAACCAUAUUUCAAAUGAUAAU